rnacentral:lncRNA from 1 species
CACAACCACCCCAUUUCAACUUCAAGCUCCAAUGCUCCUACUCCUCUCUUGGCCUCCUCGACUGCCACAACAUCCUCCAACCCUGACCCAUCAUCUUCUUCUAGAUUGCCACCAUCCACGCCUAUGCCCUCCAUGGCCUCCACCUCACUACCGUCCUCUCGUAGAUGCUCUCCGUUGCCGUCAUCCCCAACACUUUCACCUGCUCCUCCAAACUCAUGGCCUAACCCCUCCAAGGCUGCGCCCUCUAUGCCCACUGCCUUGGGAAUGCUGGUGGAGAGACAGGAAGGUUACUACCAACACUAAAUCAAAAUCAGAAGGUUGGUACAAUGAAUUACAAACAUAACAGAACUUGAGAAGUAAACAGAAAAUGGAGUGUGUGUGAUUUGUCUGUUUGAACUAAUGAUAUAUGAUACAUGGUAUAGGUAAUUGUCUAAAGCUAUGCUUCUGAACAGAAAGGUAAUAAGAUUUCAGCAACACUAACUGAUGGCAAAUAUUAAGAGAGAGCAAAUAGAAGUAUGUGCCUAGAUAGCACAUUGAAGGAAAAUGAAAUUGAAAACAAAACCUGUUGCUACUGAAUGGUCUCUAUUCCUA